rnacentral:rRNA from 1 species
UACAGAGGUCUCAACCGUUGUUCGGAUUCAUUGGGCGUAAAGAGCUCGUAGGCGGUGUGUCGCGUCGGCCGUGAAAACCUGCAGCUUAACUGUGGGCUUGCGGUCGAUACGGGCAUCACUGGAGUUCGGCAGGGGAGACUGGAAUUCCUGGUGUAGCGGUGAAAUGCGCAGAUAUCAGGAGGAACACCGGUGGCGAAGGCGGGUCUCUGGGCCGAUACUGACGCUGAGGAGCGAAAGCGUGGGGAGCGAACAGG